UGGGGAAUAUUGGACAAUGGGCGAAAGCCUGAUCCAGCAAUGCCGCGUGAGUGAUGAAGGCCUUAGGGUUGUAAAGCUCUUUUACCAGGGAUGAUAAUGACAGUACCUGGAGAAUAAGCUCCGGCUAACUCCGUGCCAGCAGCCGCGGUAAUACGGAGGGAGCUAGCGUUGUUCGGAAUUACUGGGCGUAAAGCGCACGUAGGCGGCUAUUCAAGUCGGGGGUGAAAGCCCGGGGCUCAACCCCGGAACUGCCCUCGAAACUAGGUAGCUUGAAUCUUGGAGAGGCGAGUGGAAUUCCGAGGGUAGAGGUGAAAUUCGUAGAGAUUCGGAAGAACACCAGUGGCGAAGGCGACUCGCUGGACAAGUAUUGACGCUGAGGUGCGAAAGCGUGGGGAGCAAACA
rnacentral:rRNA from 1 species